rnacentral:rRNA from 1 species
AGUGGGGAAUAUUGGACAAUGGGCGCAAGCCUGAUCCAGCCAUGCCGCGUGAGUGAUGAAGGCCUUAGGGUUGUAAAGCUCUUUCGCCAGGGACGAUAAUGACGGUACCUGGAUAAGAAGCCCCGGCUAACUUCGUGCCAGCAGCCGCGGUAAUACGAAGGGGGCUAGCGUUGUUCGGAAUUACUGGGCGUAAAGCGUAUGCAGGCGGAUUGUUAAGUCAGGGGUGAAAUCCCGAGGCUCAACCUCGGAACUGCCUUUGAUACUGGCAAUCUUGAGUCCGGGAGAGGUGAGUGGAACUGCGAGUGUAGAGGUGAAAUUCGUAGAUAUUCGCAAGAACACCAGUGGCGAAGGCGGCUCACUGGCCCGGUACUGACGCUGAGAUACGAAAGCGUGGGGAGCAAA